GGGCCGGUCGUCUAGCAUGGUUAGGACAUCUGCCUGACGCGCAGAAGGUCGCCGGUUCAAGU
rnacentral:tRNA from 1 species